UGACUUUAUAUUCAGUUCCCAAAAGCAUAGAAGCAAUUCAGGAGAAGUAAUCCCUUCAUUUUGUGGCAAGAUAAGGGGAACCUUUGAUGCCAAGGCACAAACCAAAUUUGUCCACCAACUAUAGGCCAUAAAACUUAACAGGUAUGAAACAGAUUUUAGUAAUUAUGGCUUUAAAUUACAAGUUUACUGAGAGAAAAAAUAACAGAACAUGAAAAAUCUCACAAGAUCAAAACAGUGGAAAACAAGCUACAAUGAAGAAGUGUAAGAAUUAAAUAAACAACCCGAUCACACUGAAGCCGUCUUUCCACACAGUAGCUGGAAAACAAGGAUUAAUAGAAACAUGAAACCCAUUAUUUAACUCUCAUUCCACCACUUCACAGUACAAUGAGAACAUGAUGAAAUUUGUAAGUGCCUGUCACGGCGAAGGGGUUUACUGUGACUGUCAGCCUGCAUUCAGUGUGUGUAAUAGCUACUUGAGACACCGUCUAAAAACACUUCAAACAAUGAAGGUUCUGAAUGAAGGUUUGUUGUGAUGGACAGACACUAUGACACAGCGAGGAGCCGUCUACCUUUUCACGAUAAUGAACAUCUUAAUGUGAUCUGAAGCUGUAAAGAAUGUGCUGCGGGGGAUAAUCUUACACAUUAAUGUGAGUCUUGCAUAAAGCCCUAAAGUGUCUAUAUGUGUGUGUCAGUGUGUGUGUGUGUGUGUAUGUGUCAUGUAUAUUUGAACAGACAGACCUUUGGUGUAUUUCUACUUUUUCUCUACUUUUUACAGACUCUAGCUCCAGUUUGGGUAUUUCUUGUAGCGCAUCCUGCCGCACCUCCCACAUUUCUAAAGAACACUUAAAAGGAUGAAAGUUUUCUAUGCAGUUUAAGCCAUCAAAGCAUUAACGCGGAAUUUUCUUUUUUUUUAACUGAACAGGUAUAUCCAGCGUAUUAGUCAAAAAACCCUGUGAUCUCCUAAAUCCAACGGAAUGUUUUUGGAGUUGAAUGAGUUCCUGUCUGACAAUCAAGACUGACGGUCAGAGGUGAAGGUCAACUCCUGAUACCAUAGAAAAGGAGCAGCAUGGCAACACAGCAAGGGCUGUUGAGUCACCUGAACCCAAGCAGCUGGGAAUGUUGUUUGCUGAUGUGUCUCCUCUGCAAAUCGACACCUCAUAGCCUCAAAGCUCACCGACACCACUUGCUGACAAAUGAUUUACUGGUCAAAGGGGCUGUGGACAUGCACAUGUUUACGAUUGAUAUAUUAUGCUAGUAGCAUUAGCGCAGUGCCACAUAUUUCUUAAAAGUUUAAAACGCUCAAGCAGUUUUAUAAAUUAUUCUGAAUUGGUGAAUGUGAUAAUUGUUGUUUAUGGGCUUUGGUUAGCUAAUGACGCUGACUAACGUGCUGUAGUUGCUAUGCAAUUUUAGUGUUUUAAUUAGUGUUUGCAUCAUUUUAUUUUUGGUAAACUAACAUAAACCUUUACUAUUCCACAUGUAUAUUUGUGUAUAUUGAUUGUUGUACUUCAUUAUACUGUUUAAAUACAGUACAUAUGUAUUAUAAAAAAUGCAAAAACUGAAUACCUUUGAUAUGUAAAUGUAAGGUUUUUUGAUCUUGUUACAUUCUCUAUAGCACAAGAUGCAAAAAGUUGUCGCCUCAUCGACUGAUAUUUAUUAUAUAAUUUCAGUGUGCUUGUAAGCACUCGGCAGGUGUUGCAGCAGUAGAAUAACAGUAUAAUUGCUUUUAAGUAAUAUAACACAGAGAGUUCCAUGUGUUUACAUGCUGUUGUACACUUGGGGUUCAGGUUCAGUACAUGUGUGUGAAUGUGUUAAGUGUUGUCGCUGGCAAUAAAGCGUGUUAUGUAACAAACACAAAGUGUGAACUGCUCCACGGAAACACAUUCAUUUCGCAAAUGAAC